GAUGAACGCUAGCUACAGGCUUAACACAUGCAAGUCGAGGGGCAGCAUGUCGGUUGCUUGCAACCGAUGAUGGCGACCGGCGCACGGGUGAGUAACGCGUAUCCAACCUACCCUUGUCCAUCGGAUAACCCGUCGAAAGGCGGCCUAACACGAUAUGCGGUUCUCAGCAGGCAUCUAACGAGAACGAAAUGUGAAGGAGAAGGAUGGGGAUGCGUCUGAUUAGCUUGUUGGCGGGGUAACGGCCCACCAAGGCAACGAUCAGUAGGGGUUCUGAGAGGAAGGUCCCCCCACAUUGGAACUGAGACACGGUCCAAACUCCUACGGGAGGCAGCAGUGAGGAAUAUUGGUCAAUGGGCGGAAGCCUGAACCAGCCAAGUAGCGUGAGGGAUGACUGCCCUAUGGGUUGUAAACCUCUUUAUAAGGGAUAAAGUGAGUCUCGUGAGGCUUUUUGCAUGUACCUUAUGAAUAAGGACCGGCUAAUUCCGUG
rnacentral:rRNA from 1 species